UUGAACGCUGGCGGCAGGCCUAACACCUGCACGUCGAACGGUAACAGGAAGAAGCUUGCUUCUUUGCUGACGAGUGGCGGACGGGUGAGUAAUGUCUGGGAAACUGCCUGAUGGAGGGGGAUAACUACUGGAAACGGUAGCUAAUACCGCAUAACGUCGCAAGACCAAAGAGGGGGACCUUCGGGCCUCUUGCCAUCGGAUGUGCCCAGAUGGGAUUAGCUAGUAGGUGGGGUAACGGCUCACCUAGGCGACGAUCCCUAGCUGGUCUGAGAGGAUGACCAGCCACACUGGAACUGAGACACGGUCCAGACUCCUACGGGAGGCAGCAGUGGGGAAUAUUGCACAAUGGGCGCAAGCCUGAUGCAGCCAUGCCGCGUGUAUGAAGAAGGCCUUCGGGUUGUAAAGUACUUUCAGCGGGGAGGAAGGGAGUAAAGUUAAUACCUUUGCUCAUUGACGUUACCCGCAGAAGAAGCACCGGCUAACUCCGU
rnacentral:rRNA from 1 species